GCUUGCUCUUCUCCAUAAGGUGCCUGCUGCUUGUGGUGGGGAUACACCUGGGGCCAGUCGCUGCGUCAACUGGUGAAGUGUUUCGAAAACGUGUUACGGGGAAAAAUUGCAGUAACCGGAUUGGAGCACUCCAUGUCCGGUGAAUAUUUGUCCAGCACCAAACGCAUCGAGGUGUUCGUACGCGCCGCAGAUGGCACCAUUUCGUCCUUAUUUUCGAAUUUGAUUUCAGCAUGACAGGAAGAAGAAACUGGCGAUAAUAGGUGAAAAAAUCAGAAGUUUUGCCUGAUGCAACAGAUGAGGUCUGCAGAAGUCGUAUUACGUUGUACAGAAAUGAAAACAGUAAGAGUAAGUGAGAAGAGUGGCGCAGGGACGAGUGGCGUUUAGCAACCUCUUGCGUUGUGUAUCCUCCAUAUGAGGUUCCUAAGGAACCGCGUUGUACCUAGAAGAACUGUAGGAGACAAGCUGUAUUGUGGCUCUUGAACGAAUUCCAUCUUCUAUCCUAGACAGCAGCUUGUGAGAAUAAGCCAUCAGUUCUCACGAGUUCCGAAAUUACUGGGGAUCUUUGGGACUCAAUUGAUCUUUGGGCCGCAAUAACACUGAUGGGGGAACACCCUAACGUAGAUGUGGCUACAAAUGUGGAAAUCCAUUGAGAUAAGCGACUUUGACAAAGGGCCUGUGAACGAGUAUCUCACUAACGGUGAAGCUGGUCGAAUAUUCACAUUCUACUGUCGUGAGCAUGUACAA